GACGUAGGGCGCGAGCGUUGUCCGGAAUUAUUGGGCGUAAAGAGCUCGUAGGCGGCUUGUCGCGUCGACUGUGAAAACCCGUGGCUCAACCAUGCGGUCUGCAGUCGAUACGGGCAGGCUAGAAUUCGGUAGGGGAGACUGGAAUUCCUGGUGUAGCGGUGAAAUGCGCAGAUAUCGGGAGGAACACCGGUGGCGAAGGCGGCGACCUGGGUCGAUACUGACGCUGAGGCGCGAAAGCGUGGGGAGCAAACAGG
rnacentral:rRNA from 1 species